AUUGAACGCUGGCGGCAUGCUUUACACAUGCAAGUCGAACGGUAACAGGUUAAGCUGACGAGUGGCGAACGGGUGAGUAAUGCAUCGGAACGUGCCCGGUCGUGGGGGAUAACACUUCGAAAGAAGUGCUAAUACCGCAUACGAUCUGAGGAUGAAAGCGGGGGACCGUAAGGCCUCGCGCGAUCGGAGCGGCCGAUGGCAGAUUAGGUAGUUGGUGGGAUAAAAGCUUACCAAGCCGACGAUCUGUAGCUGGUCUGAGAGGACGAUCAGCCACACUGGGACUGAGACACGGCCCAGACUCCUACGGGAGGCAGCAGUGGGGAAUUUUGGACAAUGGGCGCAAGCCUGAUCCAGCAAUGCCGCGUGCAGGAUGAGGGCCUUCGGGUUGUAAACUGCUUUUGUACGGAACGAAAAGCCCUGGGUUAAUACCCUGGGGUCAUGACGGUACCGUAAGAAUAAGCACCGGCUAACUACGUGCCAGCCGCCGCAGUAACAC
rnacentral:rRNA from 1 species